rnacentral:miRNA from 1 species
UUACCACGGUGUCACUGCCUGU